rnacentral:tRNA from 1 species
CCUUGGUUAGGUCAGUUGGUAGAGCGCUGCACAGGAAAUGGAGAGGUUCCUGGUUCGAUACCAGGACCAGCGG